AAGGUGACGGGUGUAAUUCUAACUAAUGACUACCUAUGGCAACAUCUAGCUAAGGUUGGAUAUCGAACUCAACUACAUCUCAUUAGCUGACCUCCAUAACUUGACAUUAUGACAUGUGAAAAAAAUGUGACUUCAUUGAAGAAAAAUUCUUACAAAAUUUUGGUCGGUUCGGUACAAAAUACCUCACCCAAUACUGAGGUUAUCAAAAAGGGACCGACCAAUGUUAAAGCUCGAAUAUGCCUGGGCUGAGAUACAGAAUUUUUAAGCUCC
rnacentral:lncRNA from 1 species